CGGACAUGGACAGGAUUGACAGAUUGAGAGCUCUUUCUCGAUUCCAUGGGUGGUGGUGCAUGGCCAUUCUUAGUUGGUGGAGUGAUUUGUCUGGUUAAUUCCGAUAAUGAACGAGACUCUGGCAUGCUAACUAGUUACGUGACCCCUGAGUGGUUGACGUCUACAACUACCUGAAAGGGGGUUGCAGGGAGUUGGGUGUUGGUCUCUUCUCCCAAGUGACUAAUGAUAGGAUGAGAGGAAAUGGCUUCAAAU
rnacentral:ncRNA from 1 species